rnacentral:rRNA from 1 species
UGGUGGAGUGAUUUGUCUGGUUAAUUCCGAUAACGAACGAGACCUUAACCUGCUAAAUAGCCAGGCCGGCUUUCGCUGGUCGCCGGCUUCUUAGAGGGACUGUCAGUGUCUAACUGACGGAAGUUUGAGGCAAUAACA